rnacentral:misc_RNA from 1 species
GAUGAAGAACGCAGUGAAAUGCGAUAAGUAGUGUGAAUUGCAGAAUUCAGUGAAUCAUCGAAUCUUUGAACGCACAUUGCGCCUCCUGGUAUUCCGGGAGGCAUGCCUGUUCGAGCGUCAUUAAAAUCACUCAAGCUUAGGUUUACCUAUUGCUUGGUCUUGGAGAUGGAAGCCAAUUCAUUGGAAUCCUCUUCGAAAUCCAAUGGCGAAGACCCUUGCUCUCCCAAGUGUAGUAAUAACUUAUGUCACUGAAGGAAGCGAGAAAUCUUCCGCCGUAACCCCCAUAUUUUCUAUGAUUGACCUCGGAUCAGGUAGGGAUACCCGCUGAACUUAAGCAUAUCAUAAGCGGAGGA